rnacentral:misc_RNA from 1 species
GACGAAGAACGUAGUGAAAUGCGAUAAGUAAUGUGAAUUGCAGAAUUCAGUGAAUCAUCGAAUCUUUGAACGCACAUUGCGCCCCUUGGUAUUCCGAGGGGCAUGCCUGUUCGAGCGUCAUUAUAACCCCUCAAGCUCAGCUUGGUGUUGGGGCCUGCUGCACUGGCAGCCCUUAAAAUCAGUGGCGGCGCCAUCUGGCUCUAAGCGUAGUAAUUCUUCUCGCUAUGGAGUCCUGGUGGAUGCUUGCCAUCAACCCCCAAUUUUUCUAUGGUUGACCUCGGAUCAGGUAGGGAUACCCGCUGAACUUAAGCAUAUCAAUAAGCGGAGGA